GCGGCCGCGGGAAUUCGAUUCGUAUUACCGCGGCUGCUGGCACGGAGUUAGCCGGUGCUUCUUCUGCGGGUAACGUCAAUCACAGCGCUAUUUACGCUGUGCCUUCCUCCCCGCUGAAAGUACUUUACAACCCGAAGGCCUUCUUCAUACACGCGGCAUGGCUGCAUCAGGCUUGCGCCCAUUGUGCAAUAUUCCCCACUGCUGCCUCCCGUAGGAGUCUGGGCCGUGUCUCAGUCCCAGUGUGGCUGGUCAUCCUCUCAGACCAGCUAGGGAUCGUCGCCUAGGUGAGCCAUUACCCCACCUACUAGCUAAUCCCAUCUGGGUUCAUCCGAUGGCGUGAGGCCCGAAGGUCCCCCACUUUACUCCAAAGAGGUUAUGCGGUAUUAGCCACCGUUUCCAGUGGUUAUCCCCCUCCAUCGGCAGAUCCCCAGACAUUACUCACCCGUCCGCCGCUCGCCGGCGGGAAGCAAGCUUCCCCCCGCUGCCGCUCGACUUGCAUGUGUUAGGCCUGCCGCCAGCGUUCAAUCUGAGCCAUGAUCAAACUCUAAUCACUAGUGAAUUCGCGGCCGCCUGCAGGUCGACCAU
rnacentral:rRNA from 1 species